rnacentral:rRNA from 1 species
GACGAACGCUGGCGGCGUGCCUAAUACAUGCAAGUCGAGCGGACAAAAGGGAGCUUGCUCCCAGAGGUUAGCGGCGGACGGGUGAGUAACACGUGGGUAACCUGCCCUAAAGUGGGGGAUAACAUUUGGAAACAGAUGCUAAUACCGCAUAAAUCUUGGAACCUCAUGGUUCCAAGCUGAAAGAUGGCGUAAGCUAUCGCUUUUGGAUGGACCCGCGGCGUAUUAGCUAGUUGGUGAGGUAAAGGCUCACCAAGGCGAUGAUACGUAGCCGACCUGAGAGGGUGAUCGGCCACAUUGGGACUGAGACACGGCCCAAACUCCUACGGGAGGCAGCAGUAGGGAAUCUUCCACAAUGGACGAAAGUCUGAUGGAGCAACGCCGCGUGAGUGAAGAAGGUUUUCGGAUCGUAAAACUCUGUUGUUGGAGAAGAACGUACGUGAGAGUAACUGUUCACGUAGUGACGGUAUCCAACCAGAAAGCCACGGCUAACUACGUGCCAGCAGCCGCCGUAACAC